rnacentral:sRNA from 1 species
GGUCAGCAAUGAAAGGGCUAUCAGGCAGCCGCAGCCAUCACCACGGGGUCACCUGCGACUCGGCCUGUGACUCGCUGUCGCACCACUCCGACCGCAAGCCCUACCUGCUGAGCCCAGUGGAGCACCACCCCGCAGACCACCCAUACUACACCCAGCGGAACUCCUUCCAGGCUGAGUGUGUGGGCCCCUUCAGCGACCCGCUGGCCAGCAGCACCUUCCCCCGCAGGCACUACACCUCGCAGCAAGAGCUGAAGGACGAGUGUGCCCUGGUGCCCCGCACCCUGGCCACCAAGGCGAACCGCAUCCCCGCCAACCUGCUGGACCAGUUCGAGCGGCAGCUGCCACUCAGCCGCGAUGGCUAUCACACUCUGCAGUACAAGCGCACGGCCGUGGAGCACCGCAGCGACAGCCCCGGCCGCAUCCGCCACCUGGUGCACUCGGUCCAGAAGCUCUUCACCAAGUCGCACUCCCUGGAGGGGCCGUCCAAGGGCAGCGUCAACGGGGGCAAGGCCAGCCCUGACGAGGCGCAGGCGGCGCGCUAUGGCAAACGCAGCAAGAGCAAGGAGCGGCGCGCGGAGCCCAAGGCCCGGCCCAGCACCUCCCCGGGCUGGUGGAGCUCGGACGACAACCUGGAUGGUGACAUGUGCAUCUACCACGCCCCCUCGGGCGUGAUGACCAUGGGCAGGUGCCCCGACCGCUCGGCCUCACAGUACUUCAUGGAGGCCUACAACACCAUCAGCGAGCAGGCGGUGAAGGCCUCCCGGAGCAACAACGACGUCAAGUGCUCCACCUGCGCCAACCUGCCGGUCAGCCUGGACACCCCGCUGCUGAAGAAGAGCGCCUGGUCCUCCACGCUCACCGUGAGCCGGGCCCGGGAGGUUUACCAGAAGGCCUCGGUGAACAUGGACCAGGCCAUGGUGAAGUCCGAGUCGUGUCAGCAAGAACGCUCCUGCCAGUACCUGCAGGUUCCACAAGAUGAAUGGACAGGGUACACCCCUCGAGGUAAAGAUGAUGAAAUUCCAUGCCGAAGAAUGCGGAGUGGCAGUUAUAUCAAGGCCAUGGGGGAUGAAGACAGUGGAGACUCAGACACGAGUCCCAAGCCUUCUCCAAAAGUUGCUGCGCGGAGAGAAAGCUAUCUCAAGGCUACUCAGCCAUCCCUUACAGAACUCACCACACUCAAAAUCUCCAAUGAACACUCACCCAAACUCCAGAUCCGGAGUCAUAGUUACCUGAGGGCAGUGAGUGAAGUCUCCAUCAACCGGAGCCUGGACAGCCUGGACCCUGCAGGCUUGCUCACAUCACCAAAGUUCCGCUCCAGGAAUGAGAGCUACAUGCGAGCCAUGAGCACCAUCAGCCAGGUGAGCGAGAUGGAAGUGAACGGGCAGUUCGAGUCCGUGUGCGAGUCCGUGUUCAGCGAGCUGGAGUCGCAGGCCGUGGAAGCGCUGGACCUGCCCAUGCCCGGCUGCUUCCGCAUGCGGAGCCACAGCUAUGUGCGGGCCAUUGAGAAAGGCUGCUCCCAGGACGACGAGUGCGUGUCCCUGAGGUCGUCCUCGCCGCCGCGCACCACCACCACCGUUAGGACCAUCCAGAGCAGCACGGGGAGCCUUGACAAGAAGCUGGAAUCCUGGGCGCUAGGGUAGGAAGACAUGACUCCUCCACCCCUGAUACCACUCAGGCAAAAUGGGUAAAGAUCACCCCAUAUGAACUUCAACUUGGUGAAUUCACAGCUCUCACAAUAAAAAACAUUUUGUUUUACAAC